UACGGGGGGGGCAAGCGUUGUUCGGAAUUACUGGGCGUAAAGGGCUCGUAGGCGGCCAACUAAGUCGGACGUGAAAUCCCCAGGCUCAACCUGGGAACUGCGUCCGAUACUGGAUGGCUUGAAUUCGGGAGAGGGAUGCAGAAUUCCAGGUGUAGCGGUGAAAUGCGUAGAUAUCAUGAGGAAUACCAGAGGCGAAGGCGGCUCCCUGGACAAUUGCUGACGCUCAGGCACGAAAGCGUGGGGAGCAAAAGGG
rnacentral:rRNA from 1 species